AAUACGUUUUAUUCAUUUUUUCAAUAAUCAAAACUUCAUAGAUCCCAACACUCCUCUUCUCUUCUCCUUGUUUUUUACUGUCAUUUCAGUUUUCAAAAUGUCAGUGGGUCCCAAAAACAAGCAUCCAUUUUUUCAACCUACUUGAAGAAGGCUUUACGGACAAAAUACAAAAUCCGGAUGCUUUUGUGAAAGAAUAUUAGAAGAUGCUGGCCAAGACGGUCUUACUGAAAAUGGAAGAAAAUUUGCCUUGGGAAGCCAAGAUAAUGAGGAGGUGACUGGUUACUUCAUAUGUGAAGGAGUGUGGCCACAGCUUGUGGCGAAUAACAAGCUGGGGCUAGGGGAUAUGUUGAUCUUCUAUCUUGUUGACUAGUCGACCUUCCAAUUCCUUCCCUACUCUAAGAAACCUCGUACCAACAUUCUCCAUUUUGAGGGACUCAACAGUUUCGACGAAGAGAACAUUGAAAUUGGAGCUUCAAGAAGAUCUAAGAAAGUUAAGACUGAGCCGAAAGAAUCAUCAGCAAGCGGCGAUGAAAGAUGCAAGAUGCACAACCAAUAAUUCAGUAUUUCUUAUGAUGUGCGCAUAGCAGUUUUCGACAAAGAGAAGGAUUUAGCAUAUCAAGCAACAAAAGCUAAUUCCAAGUCUAAGAAUCCAUUCUUUAUAUCUUUUAUGCAUCCUACGAAUAUCUCCAGAUCACAUCUGAUAAGCUCUACAAAUUAUUCCACAAUGUAUAUACUUUACAAAGUCAAUUCAUUGAGUUAAUCUCUUUUGGCAGAGCAUAAAGUUGACAAUUGCUAGGAACAAUAUCUCGAAAAACUGCAAAAAGAUAGUGCUUCGUGUUGCAGGCGGAGGAUCUUGGCCUAUCAUAUGCAAUUUGAGACCAGCACAAGCUAGAAUUACCACUGGCUAGAGGGAUUUCAUGGAUGGCAAUCAGUUAAAAAUAGGUGAUGUUUGUGACCAGGUUCAUCGAUCCUAUGCAAUUUUCGGCAAGUCAGCACUGCAGCUGGAAAGUGUACUGUUAGCAGGAAGUUGGUGAGAAAGAUAGCAGAGGUGCAACACCUUUUUGCUUCAACCAAUCAGAAGAGUCCUAGGUUUUCUUGUAUCAUAUUUAUACAUCAUGAUGCAACAAGAAAACCCUAGCCCUUACACACAAUGAAUUGAUAAUCUCUCUUGAAGCACACAAUUAGAAAAGCCUCGGCUGCAACAAGGACCGACUUAAUCGAACUUGUUCGUCAUAUGUUCUUGUUAUAUUUGAAUCUUUGUCUAGUGGUCUUUAACGCUCAAACCUACUCUCAUUGUAAAGUUGUUGAAGGUCUUUUCAUUGUUUUCUUGAUUACUCAUGGUUGGUCAGCUAGAGUUAGUUGACAGUUAGGCUACAGUUGGUCGACUAGUUGACGAUUAGGCUAGAGUUGGUCGGCAUAUCAAAGUGACUAGAGUUAGUCAUUGGAGCUAAUAGCAAUAGACAGGUAUUCCAGUGAGUGUCUCAUAAUAGAGUUAUUGCAAGGUCAUUUAGGAUUAAAAGUUUAAUCCUUGUAACUGUGGAGUCUGUAUUCAACGUUGCUUGAAGAUAGUGAAGCAGUUGGAAAUCCUAUGAGGUAGGUAGUAAUUUUACUCCCCUGGAGCCAGGAAAUUUCCACGUAAAUAUCACGUGUCAUUUACCUUAAGCUUUA